GACGAACGCUGGCGGCGUGCUUAACACAUGCAAGUCGAACGGAAAGGCCCUGCUUUUGUGGGGUGCUCGAGUGGCGAACGGGUGAGUAACACGUGAGUAACCUGCCCUUGACUAUGGGAUAACUUCAGGAAACUGGGGCUAAUACCGGAUAGGAGCUCCUGCUGCAUGGUGGGGGUUGGAAAGAUUCGGCGGUUGGGGAUGGACUCGCGGCUUAUCAGCUUGUUGGUGGGGUAGUGGCUUACCAAGGCUUUGACGGGUAGCCGGCCUGAGAGGGUGACCGGCCACAUUGGGAAUGAGAUACGGCCCAGACUCCUACGGGGGGCAGCAGUGGGGAAUAUUGCACAAUGGGCGGAAGCCUUAUGCAGCAACGCCGCGUGCGGGAUGACGGCCUUCGGGUUGUAAACCGCUUUCGCCUGUGCCGAAGCGUGAGUGACGGUAAUGGGUAAAGAAGCACCGGCUAACUACGUG
rnacentral:rRNA from 1 species